GACGAACGCUGGCGGCGUGCUUAACACAUGCAAGUCGAACGGAAAGGCCCCUUUGGGGGUACUCGAGUGGCGAACGGGUGAGUAACACGUGAGUAACCUGCCCUUGACUUCGGGAUAACUUCAGGAAACUGGGGCUAAUACCGGAUAGGAAUCCUUGCUGCAUGGUGGGGGUUGGAAAGCUUCGGCGGUUUUGGCUGGACUCGCGGCUUAUCAGCUUGUUGGUGGGGUAGUGGCUUACCAAGGCUUUGACGGGUAGCCGGCCUGAGAGGGCGACCGGCCACAUUGGGACUGAGAGACGGCCCAGACUCCUACGGGAGGCAGCAGUGGGGAAUAUUGCACAAGGGGCGGAAGCCUGAUGCAGCAACGCCGCGGGCGGGAUGACGGCCUUCGGGUUGUAAACCGCUUUCAGCAGGGGCGAAGCUUGUGGUGACGGUACCUGCAGAAGAAGCACCGGCUAACUACGUG
rnacentral:rRNA from 1 species